GUUAGCUCAGUUGGUAGAGCGCUCCACUGGAAACGGAGAGGUUCCGGGUUCGAUUCCCGGAC
rfam:Ixodes scapularis strain Wikel colony gcontig_1108378383062, whole genome shotgun sequence.